rnacentral:tRNA from 1 species
AAGGUCUUAGCUUAAUUAAAGCGCUUGAGUUGCAUUCAGGAGAUACAGGUUAGACUCUUGUAGAUCUUA